GUAGGUGGCAAGCGUUGUCCGGAAUUAUUGGGCGUAAAGCGCGCGCAGGCGGGGUUCGUUUAAGUCUGAUGUGAAAGCCCACGGGCUCAACCGUGGAGGGUCAUUGGAAACUGGAGAACUUGAGUACAGAAGAGGAAAGCGGAAUUCCACGUGUAGCGGUGAAAUGCGUAGAGAUGUGGAGGAACACCAGUGGCGAAGGCGGCUUUCUGGUCUGUAACUGACGCUGAGGCGCGAAAGCGUGGGGAGCAAACAGGAUUAGAUACCCUGGUAGUCCACGCCGUAAACGAUGAGUGCUAAGUGUUAGGGGGUUUCCGCCCCCUAGUGCUGCAGCUAACGCAUUAAGCACUCCGCCUGGGGAGUACGACCGCAAGGUUG
rnacentral:rRNA from 1 species